rnacentral:rRNA from 1 species
GGAAACGGACGCUAAUACCGCAUACGUCCUACGGGAGAAAGCAGGGGACCUUCGGGCCUUGCGCUAUCAGAUGAGCCUAGGUCGGAUUAGCUAGUUGGUGAGGUAAUGGCUCACCAAGGCUACGAUCCGUAACUGGUCUGAGAGGAUGAUCAGUCACACUGGAACUGAGACACGGUCCAGACUCCUACGGGAGGCAGCAGUGGGGAAUAUUGGACAAUGGGCGAAAGCCUGAUCCAGCCAUGCCGCGUGUGUGAAGAAGGUCUUCGGAUUGUAAAGCACUUUAAGUUGGGAGGAAGGGCAUUAACYUAAUACGUUAGUGUUUUGACGUUACCGACAGAAUAAGCACCGGCUAACUCUGUGCCAGCAGCCGCGGUAAUACAGAGGGUGCAAGCGUUAAUCGGAAUUACUGGGCGUAAAGCGCGCGUAGGUGGUUUGUUAAG